UUCAUACUGCUGUUGAUGAUGUGAAUUUUGGAAAUAUUCUCCCCUAUUGGGUCUUUCUCCAUGACAGAUGAUGUCCUUUGGCUUCGGUUUUUUGCCUAAGAACUGUAAGUGGUGCUUGCUAGCCCUACUAAGAAUCCUGCCAUUGUUGCAAAUUUCAGAAAAAAGGAUUGGUCCCCAAAGUAAAUGAGAUAAUGAGAAAAAACUUCAGGGAAAAAACUGAGAAUACUAUAGCUGAUUAACUUACUGUUUAGUUCUCUUAAAAAUAUCUACCUUCUUAUCAUUAUAAUUCUGGAAUGAAAAUCAGGAGGACUGCCUAGUACUGCCAAUUCUGACAGUGAUCUGGCUGGAGUGCAGUGGUGCACACGCCUCACACUGUGACACAGCGGGAGAGCCCAGAGCGACAGCUGUUGGAAUGACUGCACUCUUCCUGCUCAAGUCUGACCUUUCCAAGGAGAAGUAGGCAAAUGAUGCGGCUGAACAAUGCCUCCUUGACUUCAGGAUAUAAAAACUACUUUCAUGAGCUUCAAGUCAGGGUAAUGGUGCUCAGAAAAAGAAGCCAAUCAGGAGAUCUGUUUUCUGUGCCCUUUUAACACUUCUAACUCAGGCACCCAAACCAGCCUGUAGCAGAAAGAGCAUCAAAGCCAUCCUCUGGACUCUACACAAGGUGGAUGAAGCUAACCAGAUAGAGUGAGACCAGAGAGAAGAAGUGGCCCAGGAAGUCAUAACCUCCUGUUCCUGACUUGGACUUUCUGUAAGUGUGAUUCCCAACCUGGUUACUCAUCAGAAUCAUACAAGGAACAUUAGAAAAGGAUCUAUCUGGUCAGAUACUUAGUACCUAGAUGUGGAGACCAUAUCUCACAGUUCUGUCAGGCAGGAGCAGUCCAAACACUUUGAUUAUCAGCUGUCUCUUGCUCGGGAAAUUACUAGGUACCAACACUGUUAUAUAUGCAGAGGUGUCUGAAAAAUGAAUGCAGAUCAAUUUCCAGUUCCACACAGAGCACAUCUGUAAAAUAUGACCUUUGGAUAAUGGCUGGAGUGUUUACCUGCAGUAUUCGUUUUUGCAUGUGGCUUUCCCUAGAUAUGUCAGGAUACAGCAGGACCAAAACCUAGGCUUUGUCCUAUGUCUGGAGACUUCUUGGAAGCUGGAGCACACAAAUAGCUACAGCAAACUUGAGGAAUGGGCAUGAAUAGACUGGCUUCGGGGAACCUGCCAGCUUGGCCGUGUGGCCAAGGUAAUAGGCAAGCCAAGGCAGAGCUAGAGCUCAGAGCUGGAGGGGAAAUUAAAGCAGCAAAUGUAGAAACAUUAAGCCUGAAGAGGCGACGACGUUGAAUUCUAAAAUGCAGGCCAAAGCUCAGACUGCAAGCUGUCUGGCUGCUCCGGGUGUGCCCAGAAGUCAAAGUCCAGCAGGGGCAAAGGUGGAGGUGUGGUCCUGCACGUGGGGUGUUGGGGGGAUGUGGAAGAGGAGGUGCUUUAAGAUCCAGAGAUUCCAGCUGCCCUGGUGCACCCUUGGAAGAAUAAAAGGCUAGGAACUGGACAAGUCAGGCUCGAGUCCAAGCUGCCUGAGGAAUCGGGGAAAGAAUGGAGCUCAGAGUGGGAGGUCAGGGCAGUAUUUAAAAAUCCAGGAUAGCAGCAAAGCUGGCGGUGGCCCCUGACUCUGGUAAGGGCAGCCUGCAGCACCAUGCCAAGGGGGGCCUGACUGAUCAUGCCCUGCAUUUGCAAACAAGGAUUAGUAGGGUAUGAGUAGGAUUCUGCUGGUGCCUGGGAAGGCAGUGCCAUCUACAACUUUACAAAGUUUUAACAAAGGCCUGAAGGACACAACCUUCCCCAAAGUCCUGACGUCGCUGUUUGCUGGCAACAAAUAGAGUCAAAAGAAGAGAGGCACAGAAUGUGCCAGGGGUGUGCUGCGUACAGCCCCGAUGACCACAAGGCCUUCUUGGGUCAAGUUCUGCCAUCUCUGGUUAAGAUGGGCUCACCCUCUAGGACCCUGAUUGAGUCCUCGGACCACCAAGAGUGCCCCACCAAGAGCCUCCCUCUUCUGGUGACUCGUGCCUGCUUCCCGUGGAGAGCUCCAGAAGGGAGGAAACUGUGAGGAGGUGGAGAACGUGGCAGGGAUCCUAACUUUCUUACUGAAGGAAGUUCUUCACAAGUACCCAUCUGCCUUCAGGGAAGAAAACAUAACUCAUUUUGGUCUUUCAAAUUCAGUUCUCAAAACCAAAUCCUGUUGUCAGCAAUCUGUGUCCCAACGCCUUCUUCAGCAACAGCAUUUUCCCUGUGGAAUUAGUUUCCAAUGUUCUUUCUUAAAUAAACCACUGAAGAUUAAAAGGAAUCCAGAUACCCACCACAUUUUGUUUCCUUAAUGAGUAAUUAUCACAUUUCUUUGGCUACUUAAAUGCAUUCUCUGAGUCAGGUAAAGGAGAUCGUAAUAGUUAAUCAACAAGAAGUAAUUCUUGGGUACUUAACAAUAGUCUAAGCACUUAAUCAUACUUAAAAUUGACUAUUAAUGAACCUUAUAAACCAUUUUGCAAUUCUGAAAGUGAAUUUCUCUGCAGGCUUAGAGAUUACUAAGCCAUUUAGAUCUUACCAAACAAAUAUUAUUCAUGCUUUAAUUCCUGGGAAAAGAAAUUUAGAAAAUGAGGUUAAUGUUCAGUUGUCCUUUCCUGAGUUUAACAAUUAUAUAUUCCAUCUGGGAUGCUCUGAACUCAGGUUAAACAUUCUUCAAGUUAUUCCCACAUUUUUCAAGUUAUUCCCACGUUAGUGACCUACUUUAUUAGUAUUAUUACUAAAGAAAAGGGCUGGGUGCGGUGGCCCACAUCUGUAAUCCCAGCACUUUGGGAGGCUGAAGCAGGAGGAUCACUUGAGCUUGGGAGUUCAAGACCAGCCUGAGAGGGAGACUCCGUCUCUACAAGGGAGAAGCCUUCCUGGAGCCUGGCUGGCAGAGCCCCAGUCUGAUCUG
rnacentral:lncRNA from 10 species